GGAGAGGUGGCUCAGUGGUUAAGAGCACUGGCUGCUCUUCCAGAGGUCCUGAGUUCAAUUCCCAGCUACCACG
rnacentral:tRNA from 1 species